rnacentral:rRNA from 1 species
UACGGAGGAUGCAAGCGUUAUCCGGAUUCAUUGGGUUUAAAAGGGUGCGCAGGCGGGGGAAUAAGUCAGUGGUGAAAAGCUGCCGCUCAACGGUAGUCUUGCCAAUGAUACUGUUUCUCUUGAGUAUGGGUUAAGGUAGGUGGAAUGUGCAGUGUAGCGGUGAAAUGCAUAGAGAUUGCACAGAAGGCCGAUUGCGAAGGCAGCUUACUGAACCAUAACUGACGCUCAUGCACGAAAGCGUGGGGAUCAAACA